GACGAACGCUGGCGGCGUGCUUAACACAUGCAAGUCGAACGGAAAGGCCCUGCUUGCAGGGUACUCGAGUGGCGAACGGGUGAGUAACACGUGGGUGAUCUGCCCUGCACUUCGGGAUAAGCGUGGGAAACUGGGUCUAAUACCGGAUAGGACCGCACUUUAGUGUGUGUGGUGGAAAGUUUUUUCGGUGUAGGAUGAGCUCGCGGCCUAUCAGCUUGUUGGUGGGGUAAUGGCCUACCAAGGCGGCGACGGGUAGCCGGCCUGAGAGGGUGUACGGCCACAUUGGGACUGAGAUACGGCCCCGACUCCUACGGGAGGCAGCAGUGGGGAAUAUUGCACAAUGGGCGCAAGCCUGAUGCAGCGACGCCGCGUGGGGGAUGAAGGCCUUCGGGUUGUAAACUCCUUUCGCUAGGGACGAAGCUUUUUGUGACGGUACCUAGAUAAGAAGCACCGGCUAACUACGUG
rnacentral:rRNA from 1 species